UCUAAAAUGUACCAAUAAAUGUAUUGUUAAAAAAAAAAAAGACCCCUUGUAGGGGCAGGGCCAAGAAAGGGCGGACUCUUGUGUUUCUGGGUUAGUAGGCCUGCCCGUGUUCCAUUGGCUAACACAUCGCUCAAUCAUCAGUCCCCGCCUCCCUGGGCCUGGCCGGAAGACCCGUCCCCACUUCCCAUUGCCCGCCGCUGCCUGCCCAGCCCUUGGUGAACACCGGAAUUCAGAGGCUCGGUGUGACACACCUGGAACCCCAGCACUUUCGAGACUGAGGCAGGAGGAUCACCGGUCUCAGUAUGCAAUUCAGGCUGGCCUCCAACUCCCAGUGAUCCUCCCGCCUCAGCCUCCAGAGUGCUAGGAUGACAGGAGCUCACUACGUAGCCCAGGCUGGUCUUGAACUCACGGUGAUCCUCCUGCCUCAGCCUCCCUGUGCUGGGACUACGGACAUAAGCGCCUGGCUGAGCACUUGCUGGAGCCUCUAGGGAAAACAUAUCUACCUCAAGUCCCCAGGGUGGCCCCCCGGGGGCAUAGGUGGGACCCAGUCAACACUGCUGAAGCUGGAGACAGUGGCACCUGCCUGUAAACCCAGCACUUCAGGAGGCUGAGGCAGGAGGGUUGGGAAUUCAAGCCCAGCCUGGGCAACUUAGCAAGACCCUGUCAGUGCAGAGGCACUGGGUUCAAUCUCCGG
rnacentral:lncRNA from 1 species